rnacentral:rRNA from 1 species
GGCGAAAGCCUGAUCCAGCCAUCCCGCGUGCAGGAUGACGGCCCUAUGGGUUGUAAACUGCUUUUAUAUAGGACGAAACGCUUCCAUUUAUGGGAGCCUGACGGUACUAUACGAAUAAGCACCGGCUAAUUCCGUGCCAGCAGCCGCGGUAAUACGGAAGGUGCAAGCGUUAUCCGGAAUCACUGGGUUUAAAGGGUGCGUAGGCUGUUAGAUAAGUCAGAGGUGAAAGCUCAUCGCUUAACGAUGGAACUGCCUUUGAUACUGUUUAACUUGAAUUAGGUUGAGGUUAGCGGAAUGAGUCAUGUAGCGGUGAAAUGCAUAGAUAUGACUUAGAACACCAAUUGCGAAGGCAGCUGGCUAGACCUAUAUUGACGCUGAGGCACGAAAGCGUGGGGAGCGAACAGGAUUAGAUACCCUGGUAGUCCACGCCCUAAACGAUGCUUACUCGCUGUUUGGGAUUUAUUCUUGAGCGGCUAAGGGAAACCGUUAAGUAAGCCACCUGGGGAGUACGCUCGCAAGAGUGAAACUCAAAUGAAUUGACGGGG